CCCACCUUUCGGCUUCUACGCCCCAGUUGGGAGGAAGGCGGGCCUGGCCGCGUCUCCGUGGCGACGGCAGACGCGGUGCAGGCAGCUGGUACCUACCGACUAGAAAGGCUCAGGCGGCAGCCGGGAUCCAGACUGGGGCGGGAUCAUGUCGGACCUGGGCUCGGAAGAGUUGGAGGAGGAGGGAGAGAAAUAUCUUGGGGAAUACGAAGGGGAGCGGAAUGAGGCCGGUGAGCGGCAUGGACAUGGGAAAGCGAGACUGCCCAAUGGGGACACGUAUGAAGGGAAAUACGAAUAUGGUAAAAGACACGGCCAGGGGACCUACAAAUUUAAAAAUGGUGCGCGGUACAUUGGAGAAUACGUUAAAAAUAAAAAACACGGUCGAGGCACUUUUAUCUAUCCAGACGGAUCAAGAUAUGAAGGGGAGUGGGCGGACGACCUGAGGCAUGGCCACGGCGUGUACUACUACGUCAACAAUGACAGCUACACCGGGGAGUGGUUUGCUCACCAAAGGCACGGGCAAGGCACCUACUUCUACGCGGAGACGGGCAGCAAGUACGUGGGCACCUGGGCGAACGGCCAGCAGAAGGGCACGGCCGAGCUCAUCCACCUGAACCACAGGUACCAGGGCAAGUUCUUGAACAAAAAUCCCGUUGGCCCUGGAAAGUACGUGUUUGAUAUUGGCUGUGAACAGCACGGGGAAUAUCGCUUAACAGAUGUGGAAAGAGGAGAAGAGGAUGAGGAGGAGACACCGGUAACUGUCGUUCCAAAAUGGAAAGUGACCAAUAUCACAGAAUUGGCCUUGUGGACCCCGCCCCACCCCCAGGAGCAGCCCGCUGCGGAUGGACCAAGCCAGGGCGAGGCCCCAGGAGCUGAGGACGGGGGAGAGCCGGUGGAGGAGGUCCAGCCUCUGACCGACGACAUGUCAGAGGGGGAAUUAGAUUCAGUGCAUCCUGGAGAGGAGGAGGGAGACGCCAGCAGGGAGGACGGAGAGGAAUUCCACUACGACAGCUUAGAUCAGGGAAACGUUAAUUUUGAAGAAGAGGAAGCCAGACAGCCAGAGCUGCUGGAUUAAGAUGAAGCAAAAGCCCGAGUGGUAGGAGGUUGAGUCUUAAAGAUGCUUCUGUUACCAGGCCUCUGCUUCCAGUUCUUUAAAAGUUACCUGGUUGGGGCUUCCCUGGUUCCACAGUGGUAAAGAAUCUGCCUGCCAAUGCAGGGGACAUGGGUUUGAGCCCUUGUCCAGGAAGAUCCCACAUGCUGCCGAGCAACUAAGCCUGUGCACCACAACUACGGAGCCUGUGUGCCACAAUUAAUGAAGCCCGCGUGCCUAGAGCCCGUGCUCCGCAACAAGAGAAGCCACCAGCCCCUGCUAGCCACAACUAGAGAAAGGCCGUGUGCAGCAAUGAAGACCCAACGCAGCCAACAAAAAAAGUUACCAGGUUAUUUUGCCAUGAUUUUUUUAGUGCUGUUUUCUCCUAGGAGAAAGAAAAACAUCAUAUGACUGUAACUCUGCUGAAGAUGGUUAAUGGAAAUGGAUUCUGGCUAAGUUAGCUGAGUGACUAGAUAGUGAAGUCCCUCUCUCAAAUUACCCUCAAGCGAGCCAGGAAAACACCUAGAAAAUAAGAAUUCCUGUGUGCAAUGCUCAUAAAACACAACGUAACAAAUACAUGUCAGGCUUGGGUAAGAAACCCUCAGGUGCCGCCGGAGGGGGCGCUCCCAUCCGUUCUGCGCCUUCGGCAUCUCGGCGUGGGCUUUGGGGCUCCCUGCCGGGAGGUCCCCGCAAAAGGCUGAGGGGCAGGGCUGGCCGCAGAGAUGGCUUUGGCCUGUGUGUACGCUCUUCAGGCCUCCUGGUGGGCUGGGGGCUGACACCUACGUCCCAUCCGAGUUCCUUGAGUACGGGUCCACCUUGUUUUAUUGUGUUUUGCUUUAUUGCCUUUUGCAGAUACUGUGUUUUUUUACAGAUUGAAGGUUGGGGCAACCCUGUGUCAAGCAAGUCUAUUGGCACCAUCUUUCCAAGAGCAUUUGCUCACUUCACGUCUCUGGGUCACAUUUUGGUAAUUCUCACAAUAUUUCCAACUUUUUCAUUAUUUUUAUAUUUGUUGUGGUGAUCUGAUCUGUGAUCUUUUUUUUUUUUAAAUGAAGUAGAGUUGAUGUACAAUUUCGUGUCAGUUUCAGGGGUACAGCAAAGUGAUUCAGAUAUAUAUAUAUAUAUAUAUAACAAAAUAUCGAGUAUAGUUCCCUGUGCUGUACAGUAGGUCCUUGUUGGUUACCUAUUUUAUAUAUAGAAGUGUGUAUCUGCUAAGCCCAAACUCCUAAUUUAUCCCUCCCCCGACAUUUCCCCUUUGGCAACCAUAAGUUUGUUUUGUAUGUCCGUGAGGAGUCUGUUUCUGUUUUGUAAAUAAAUUCAUUUUUAUCUUAUUUUUUUGGA